rnacentral:lncRNA from 1 species
UUUUUUGUGAUCCCAAUAUCAAAUACAUUUUUGUUUCAGAUGAUGGUGCCUGUCCAUUAACUGAACAACUGUGCUUUUGAACGUGCUGAGGCCAGGGACUGUGUCUGAAAACACCUACCGCAGCCCAGACAAGGGAGACGUCUGCUGAACACUCGUGGGAUCUAAGGAACAAGUAAGAUUUAAAAAAUGCUGGGGUUUUUGCCUGACUUUCAGAUUUU